CUGCCAGACAGGGAAACUGCGUACGGCUCAUUACACCAGCCUUAAUUUACUUGACCUUGACAACCUACUUGGAUAACUGUGGUAAUUCUAGAGCUAAUACAUGCACCAAAGCUCCGAUCCUCGCGGAGAGGAGCGCAUUUGUUCGCCACAAAACCAAGCGCCCAUCUGGGCGUCCAGUGCUGAACCAGAACAACUCAGCUGAUCGCACGGUCUUGUACCGGCGACGUGUCUUUCAAGUGUCUGCCUUAUCAACUUUCGAUGGUAGUGUACCUGACUACCAUGGUUGUGACGGGUAACGGAGGAUAAGGGUUCGACUCCGGAGAAGGGGCCUGAGAAAUGGCCACUACGUCUAAGGAUGGCAGCAGGCGCGCAAAUUACCCACUCUCAACGCGAGGAGGUAGUGACGAGAAAUAACGAGACCGUUCUCAUACGAGGCCGGUUAUUGGAAUGGGUACAAUUUAA
rnacentral:rRNA from 1 species